rnacentral:vault_RNA from 1 species
GGGCUGGCUUUAGCUCAGCAUUUCCUUCGACAGUGUUUUAUCAACCUCUUUGUGGAGUCAGAGCGGUUCGAGACCCACGGGUGCUCUCCAGCCCUUUA